rnacentral:rRNA from 1 species
UACAUGGGGUGCAAACGUUGCUCGGAAUUAUUGGGCGUAAAGCGCGCGUAGGCGGUUACUCAAGUCGGAUGUGAAAGCCCUCGGCUUAACUGAGGAAGUGCACCCGAAACUGAGUAGCUAGAGUACUAAAGAGGGUCGCGGAAUUCCCGGUGUAGAGGUGAAAUUCGUAGAUAUCGGGAGGAACACCGGUGGCGAAGGCGGCGACCUGGGUAGAUACUGACGCUGAGGCGCGAAAGCGUGGGGAGCGAACAGG